rnacentral:rRNA from 1 species
GAGUUUGAUCUUGGCUCAGGAUGAACGCUAGCGGCAGGCUUAACACAUGCAAGUCGAGGGGUAUUGGAGGCUUGCUUCCGAGAGACCGGCGCACGGGUGCGUAACGCGUAUGCAAUCUGCCUUGUACUGGGGAAUAGCCCGGAGAAAUCCGGAUUAAUGCCCCAUAGUAUUUUAGAGUGGCAUCACUUUAUUAUUAAAGAUUUAUCGGUACAAGAUGAGCAUGCGUCCCAUUAGUUAGUUGGUGUGGUAACGGCACACCAAGACUAUGAUGGGUAGGGGUCCUGAGAGGGAGAUCCCCCCACACUGGUACUGAGACACGGACCAGACUCCUACGGGAGGCAGCAGUGAGGAAUAUUGGUCAAUGGACGCAAGUCUGAACCAGCCAUGCCGCGUGCAGGAUGACGGUCCUAUGGAUUGUAAACUGCUUUUGUACGGGAAGAAACCCCUUUACGUGUAAAGGCUGACGGUACCGUAAGAAUAAGGAUCGGCUAACUCCGUGCCAGCAGCCGCCGUAAU